GCUGGCUUGCGUUCGCUUCCUUGCUUCACAGGAAGCAUAUCUGAUAUACAAAUCGAGAUUUAUGUUCCGUGGCAUCGCACGGGCACCUACCUAGUAGUAUUUAUGCUGGGACAAAGGGAGUACUUUGGAAAUUGGAAGCAUGUGGGAGUUUCCAAAUUAGGCUGAUCACUCAGAGUAUCUCCAAGAAUGUGUCCUAUAAGGGUAUACUAGGAGGAGAUUUAAACCCCUCCAAUCUCCUUCUAGAUUGGUGUAACCGAACAAGCCUUAAUAGAGCCAGAUACUACUUCUUUGAAGAGUUCGGGGCACUAAAACAUAUUAUCCUCCAAUGAACCCUAUAAUCGGAAUUAGUUUCAUUUUCCUAUCGCACAUACUUUUGGUGCCUAGCUAUUUCGCCGCCGCACCUGUGUUCCAGAAGUUGCGGCCAAUCGAUCUGAUCCAGAGCAGGGGAGCAGCCUGGCAUCACCUCGUCGGUGGAGCAUCGAUCCAAAACCUGCAAGUAUGUUAGAGGCCGUUGGAGCACCUGUUCCUCUCUGGACAUGAGGACGGACGGACCAUCGGGUAGAGGCGUAGAGCAGAGCAAUGGAGAUCCUGGGGGCGACGAUUGGUGAAGGCAGAGGCGGACCCACGUUGGGCACAGCUCCCACUCAAUUUUCUAGUUUUAGUGGAGUUUUUAUCUUAUUCACUGUAGCUAUGAAGAUUUAUUAGUAAGGCUAUGUUCGGUAGUCGUGGUUAUAAUCAACAAGUGGAAUUAAUCCAGACGUGGAUUGAGUGGAUCCCCUGCCGUCACUUUUUCCCUGUGUGGUUUAA